rnacentral:rRNA from 1 species
UACAGAGGGUGCGAGCGUUAUUCGGAAUUACUGGGCGUAAAGCGCGCGUAGGCGGCUUUGCAAGUCGAGUGUGAAAUCCCCAGGCUUAACCUGGGAACUGCAUUCGAGACUGCAUAGCUAGAGUAUGGGAGAGGGAAGUGGAAUUUCAGGUGUAGCGGUGAAAUGCGUAGAUAUCUGAAGGAACAUCAGUGGCGAAAGCGACUUCCUGGACCAAUACUGACGCUCAUGUGCGAAAGCGUGGGGAGCAAACAGG